AUUGCAGGCUGCAACUCGCCUGCAUGAAGUCGGAAUUGCUAGUAAUCGUAGAUCAGCAUGCUGCGGUGAAUACGUUCCCGGGCCUUGUACACACCGCCCGUCACACCAUGGGAGUCGGUAACACCCGAAGUCGGCAGCCUAACCGUAAGGAGGGCGCCGCCGAAGGUGGGAUUGAUGACUGGGGUGGAAGUCGUAACAAGGUAGC
rnacentral:rRNA from 1 species